CACUGGCCAAAAGACUGGGGGUCCCGGGUCUUCGCCGUGGGACUCCCCCGCGGGCGUGAUUCCAGGUCUUGUCCCCUCUGCCAGGCCGGCACGAGUGAGAGCAAGUGGUCAGAGUUAUGGUCAACGUUAUGGUGCUGGCGCGCGGGAUGUGUUGGCGGGUGCUGACACAAAGAUGAAGAGCAUUUAUUGAGCACCUCCUGUGUGCAAACGCUGUGCUCCUUCGAGCUCCAGGGCCGGCUUCCAGGGCGUGCCCCCUGUGCACUUACACAGACCCUGUGCUCAGAUGGGCCUCGCGCUUGGUUGAAUGUUUGGCGGCUCCAGCCUUGGAAUUCUUAACGAUUUUGGAACACAGGCCGGUAUAUUUUUCAUUUAGUACUGGGCUCUGCAAAUUAAGUAGCCCGUCCUGGUGAGUGUGCUUGCAUUUGACCUUCUCAACGACCCCGCAGGAAAAUAUUAUGAAGUGGACAUCAGAAUAAUCUAUCGCUAAGAUGAGGAAAUAACCACAAGGAAAUGAAAUAACUUGUUCACGAGAAUACAGCUGGUCAGGGGUAGAAUGAGGAUCAGACGCCAGACCAUGGGACUAAAGCACAGAGAAGGUGCAGUCUCUCCUUGCAGUGGAAUCGCUACACAGUUCUUAAAUCUUCAAUGAAAAUACGCUGCCUGAGGAAAUGCAUAAUUGAUGAAACCCCAAAGCACCUGGCAGAGAAAGAAGCUGAGAAAGUCUCUUCUCUAUUAACCCCAGCAUCCAGUUGUUCCAGAAUUCAAUUUUAUGAAGUCUAACCCUGGUCACUGUGGUCAACCUUGUAACUCUUCUUCAAGACAACGUAAGAUAUGAAAAGACUGAAUUCCCACAGCCUUUUGAAAAGUCAGCAUUGGUUGGGGUGCCUGGCUGGCUCAGCUGGUAGAGUGUACGACU